UUGUGCUUGCACAGAUGACGACCGGCGCACGGGUGCGUAACGCGUAUAGAACCUACCUUUUACAGAGGAAUAGCCUUUAGAAAUGAAGAUUAAUGCCUCAUGGUAUUGUAGACUGGCAUCAGUUUAUAAUUAAAGAUUUAUCGGUAAAAGAUGGCUAUGCGUCCUAUUAGUUAGUUGGUAAGGUAACGGCUUACCAAGACAGCGAUAGGUAGGGGUCCUGAGAGGGAGAUCCCCCACACUGGUACUGAGACACGGACCAGACUCCUACGGGAGGCAGCAGUGAGGAAUAUUGGACAAUGGAGGAGACUCUGAUCCAGCCAUGCCGCGUGUAGGAAGAAUGCCCUAUGGGUUGUAAACUACUUUUAUACAGGAAGAAACACUGGUAUGUAUACCAGCUUGACGGUACUGUAAGAAUAAGGACCGGCUAACUCCGUGCCAGCAGCCGCGGUAAUACGGAGGGUCCGAGCGUUAUCCGGAAUCAUUGGGUUUAAAGGGUCCGCA
rnacentral:rRNA from 1 species